GACGAACGCUGGCGGCGUGCUUAACACAUGCAAGUCGAACGAAGUGGCGAACGGGUGAGUAACGCGUAAUCAACCUGCCCUUCCGUGGGGGACAACAGUUGGAAACGACUGCUAAUACCGCAUACUCAAGGAGGGGAUGGCGUCUGAUUAGUUAGUUGGCGGGGUAACGGCCCACCAAGGCGAUGAUCAGUAGCCGGUCGGGUAGGGUGAACGGCCGCAAUGGGACUGAGACACGGCCCAGACUCCUACGGGAGGCAGCAGGGGGGAUUCGUCCGCAAUGGACGAAAGUCGGACGUAGCAACGCCGCGUGAGUGAUGACGGCCUUCGGGUUGUAAAGCUCUGUUAGUCGUGACGCGGUACCGGAAUAAAAAGCCACGGCUAACUACGUGCCAGCAGCCGCGGUAAUUC
rnacentral:rRNA from 1 species